rnacentral:rRNA from 1 species
GACGAACGCUGGCGGCGUGCUUAACACAUGCAAGUCGAACGGAAAGGCCCUGCUUUUGUGGGGUGCUCGAGUGGCGAACGGGUGAGUAACACGUGAGUAACCUGCCCUUGACUUUGGGAUAACUUCAGGAAACUGGGGCUAAUACCGGAUAGGAGCUCCUGCUGCAUGGUGGGGGUUGGAAAGUUUCGGCGGUUGGGGAUGGACUCGCGGCUUAUCAGCUUGUUUGUCGGGUAGUGGUUUACCAAGGCUUUGACGGGUAGCCGGCCUGAGAGGGUGACCGGCCACAUUGGGACUGAGAUACGGCCCAGACUCGUACGGGAGGCAGCAGUGGGGAAUAUUGCACAAUGGGCGGAAGCCUGAUGCAGCAACGCCGCGUGCGGGAUGACGGCCUUCGGGUUGUAAACCGCUUUCGCCUGUGACGAAGCGUGAGUGACGGUAAUGGGUAAAGAAGCACCGGCUAACUACGUG